GACGAACGCUGGCGGCGUGCUUAACACAUGCAAGUCGAACGGAAAGGCCCUGCUUUUGUGGGGUGCUCGAGUGGCGAACGGGUGAGUAACACGUGAGUAACCUGCCCUUGACUUUGGGAUAACUUCAGGAAACUGGGGCUAAUACCGGAUAGGAGCUCCUGCUGCAUGGUGGGGGUUGGAAAGUUUCGGCGGUUGGGGAUGGACUCGCGGCUUAUCAGCUUGUUGGUGGGGUAGUGGCUUACCAAGGCUUUGACGGGUAGCCGGCCUGAGAGGGUGACCGGCCACAUUGGGACUGAGAUACGGCCCAGACUCCUACGGGAGGCAGCAGUGGGGAAUAUGGCACAAUGGGCGGAAGCCUGAUGCAGCAACGCCGCGUGCGGGAUGACGGCCUUCGGGUUGUAAACCGAUUUCGCCUGUGACGAAGAGUGAGUGACGGUAAUGGGUAAAGAAGCACCGGCUAACUACGUG
rnacentral:rRNA from 1 species